rnacentral:rRNA from 1 species
UACGUAGGGUGCAAGCGUUGUCCGGAAUUAUUGGGCGUAAAGAGCUCGUAGGCGGUCUGUCGCGUCGGAUGUGAAAAUCCAGGGCUCAACCCUGGACCUGCAUUCGAUACGGGCAGACUAGAGUUCGGUAGGGGAGUCUGGAAUUCCAGGUGUAGCGGUGAAAUGCGUAGAUAUCAGGAGGAACACCAGUGGCGAAGGCGGCUUCCUGGACACCAACUGACGCUGAGACGCGAAAGCGUGGGGAGCAAACAGG